UACGUAGGCAGCAAGCGUUGUUCGGAGUUACUGGGCGUAAAGGGUGUGUAGGCGGUUGUUUAAGUUUGGUGUGAAAUCUCCCGGCUCAACUGGGAGGGUGCGCCCGAAUACUGAAUGACUAGAGUGCGGGAGAGGAAAGUGGAAUUCCUGGUGUAGCGGUGAAAUGCGUAGAUAUCAGGAGGAACACCGGUGGUGUAGACGGCUUUCUGGACCGUAACUGACGCUGAGACGCGAAAGCGUGGGGAGCGAACAGG
rnacentral:rRNA from 1 species